AUUGAACGCUGGCGGCAGGCCUAACACAUGCAGGUCGAGCGGGGUUUUCGGACCUAGCGGCGGACGGGUGAGUAAUGCGUAGGAAGCUACCCGAUAGAGGGGGAUACCAGUUGGAAACGACUGUUAAUACCGCAUAAUGUCUACGGACCAAAGUGUGGGACCUUCGGGCCACAUGCUAUCGGAUGCGCCUACGUGGGAUUAGCUAGUUGGUGAGGUAAUGGCUCACCAAGGCGACGAUCCCUAGCUGGUUUGAGAGGAUGAUCAGCCACACUGGAACUGAGACACGGUCCAGACUCCUACGGGAGGAAGCAGUGGGGAAUAUUGGACAAGGGGCGCAAGCCUGAUCCAGCCAUGCCGCGUGUGUGAAGAAGGCCUUCGGGGUGUAAAGCACUUUCAGUAGGGAGGAAGUGUUGUGUGUUAAUAGUACACAGCGUUGACGUUACCUACAGAAGAAGCACCGGCUAACUCUGUGCCAGCCGCCGCCGUAAAAC
rnacentral:rRNA from 1 species